rfam:Daucus carota subsp. sativus cultivar DH1 chromosome 8, whole genome shotgun sequence.
AAACUUACCUGGAUGGGGUCAAUGGGUGAUCAUUGUGUCCCAUGGCCUAGAGAAGCAACUUCCAUUGCACUUUGUAAGGGUGCCUUCCUAAGGUCUACCCAAGUGGUGGAGCCUACAUCAUAAUUUGUGUUAGGGGGGCUUGCGUCCGCGCAGCCCCAG